UUCGAAGAGACACUCAUCCCUUACUCAAAACGAUUCGGGCUCAUCCUCUUCUAAGAGACACUCUCUAUCUAUCACUCAGGCUUUAAUCUCAGUCUAUCAAUCUCCAGACUUCUUUCUAUCACACACUCCUUCCGUUCCAAUUUAUGUCCAGUUUGAUCRAUGGCAGAAGCAACUGGGUCUACCAACAAGCCAAGAAAUGAAAGAGAUUCAUAGCUGAGGUG